rnacentral:lncRNA from 1 species
GUACCGCGACGUAGGGGUGUCGGGGGCCGCAAGAAGGCUUCCGACGCAAUCCGGGCGCGAGGGUCGGGCGGGGCGCACGUGUGGCUGGAGCAAUAACCGCCUCCGCGCGAAGACUUCGCACCAGAUUUCACCCGAACGUCGCUGUCGUCGGUCGCCAUGCUGCGCGCGCUGCUGCUGGUGGUGGUGGCGGUGGCGGUGCUUCCGCUCGGCGGCGCCGUGACCUCCCUGCAGGACAUGGAGUCCGCCAUCGUCAGCCUGGACGCGAAAAUGAGGGCGGUGGCCAACGACUGCACCGACACGAGUCCAGGUCGCGCCAGGUGAACGAAGUGACCACGAAGACGCUGCGGGCGAUCCUGACCCAGACGGCCGGCCAGAGUCGCAACGUGGAGAGCAUCGCCGUCUACAUGGCCAAGAUGGAGGGCCGCAUGCUCAACAUGGAUAGAGCCCUG